ACUGCUCUUAGAAGGGUUGCAGGGGUGGCUGCUGUUUCACAUGUACACCAGUAGGUGGCAGACAGGAGAGCGGUUAUGUCUACCCAAAGUAUUCUGACCUAGGAACAUCUGAAUGAUUAGUAGCCUAACACU